UCCUUGUUAGUACAAUGGCUAGUAUAGGGCACUCUCAUAACCUUCACGAAUCGAAGGAUGGUGUCUGCUCAGAUCGGGGUUCAAUUCCCCGGCAGGGAA